rnacentral:rRNA from 1 species
AAUAGAUACCCCGGUAGUCCACGCCGUAAACGAUGAGUACUAGGUGUAGGGGCGCCAGCCUCUGUGCCGCAGUUAACACAUUAAGUACUCCGCCUGGGAAGUACGAUCGCAAGAUUAAAACUCAAAGGAAUUGACGGGGGCCCGCACAAGCAGCGGAGCAUGUGGUUUAAUUCGAAGCAACGCGAAGAACCUUACCAGGACUUGACAUCCAAAGAAUCCACAAGAGAUUGAGGAGUGCCCUUCGGGGAACUUUGAGACAGGUGGUGCAUGGUUGUCGUCAGCUCGUGUCGUGAGAUGUUGGGUUAAGUCCCGCAACGAGCGCAACCCUUGUCGUUAGUUGCUACCAUUAAGUUGAGCACUCUAACGAGACUGCCGGGGUUAACUCGGAGGAAGGUGGGGAUGACGUCAAAUCAUCAUGCCCCUUAUGUCCUGGGCUACACACGUGCUACAAUGGCCGGUACAAAAGAAGCAAUACCGCGAGGUGGAGCAAAUCUCUAAAAACCGGUCCCAGUUCGGAUUGCAGGCUGCAACUCG